UCUCGCCCUGGAACAGCGGGGGUGACGGCAUGAGGCCGGCUCUGGGGAAGAGAGGGCCCUCGACUCCCACAGUAAAGCCCCAACUCGGGGCGUGAACACCAACCCCGGAGCAGGUGCAUGAUGGAAACAGUUCAUCUCAAACAGAGCCUGAGCCCCCUUCCUGGAGACCCCACAUCACCAGCAGCGGCUCUGAAUGGAGAUGUAGAGAGUUCUUCCUGGGAAAGGGGGCUGAGCCAGGCAGGAAGCCCGGCGGGCAGCCUGGACCCCCGGCCCACGGCCCACGGAGCCGGGGUCUCUGAGCCCCGUGGGGUACAGAGCACUGGUCAGGACCCCGAGACCACACCGAGGUGUCAGCCUCAUCAGCCGCUCGGGUGGUCCGCUCCCCCACCCCAAGCAUUCCUAGUGGUCGUGCACCUGGGCUCCGGCUGUGCCCUCUCUGCCAGGGAGGCCGGGAAACCCGGGAGGUCCAUCGGCUCCGACUUCUCCCUGCACCCGACACAGGAGGAGACGAGCGUCAGCCCACCGCCCAGCAAAGCCUGGCGUCCGGGGAGGGCCAGCCCAGAGCGGAGGGUCCCAGGGACACCGGGCCAGCUGUGCAGGCAGCUAACACAUGCAGCCUAGACUGUUCUGGAAGCUGCCCCAUCAGUUUGCUCCAAGGAGCCCUCCACCAGACGACUUCAUUUUAAGGAAGCAGCACACAGACCAGACGCGAGGGCAGGCGUGCCCGGUGCCUCCACAACCCGAAUCUGCAUCUUGUGUAACUGAAGCCUGCGUCCGAGCAGCCAGAAUGCUGCCCUCCGGCCCGUACAGGGCCCUGGCUGGCUCGGCUUUGCUGCGACCCCCGGGGGUCUCCGUCACCUCCGAAGUCACGAAACAGCCCCGCUGAUUCCUCCAGGGGUCAAGGGGCACUGGAUCUGUGUACCCGGGUCCAGGGCCCUACAAGCGGGGACAGGACCCCGGGCCCGAGACCUCGCGGCCACCUCCCACCGGGUCCUCUCUGGUGCCCAGGCAGCUACCCGAUGCGGCCAAAGGCUAGGAUUUUUUAACACGUAAAAGGAAAAGCACGAAGUUAAACUAGCAAAGCCACUCUAGCUACUCAGGGAAAUAGUUUCUGCCCAAGAGAAAAUUCUCACUAACGCUGCCCAGAACGGAAACCUGUCCCCGCUGCUCACUCUCACCAGGCUGAGGGUCUGGGGCCGCGGCGGGCGCUGGCAGGAGGGUCCCCUGGGCAUCCACCGGCCAUGGCAGAGGCAGCGCCCCACCCCGGGACGUGUCCCCCACGUCUGGUUCAAGUCCUGGGCUCGCGGGGGUGUCGGCUGCUUCAGCCAAACCCAGUCCCCACUGGUGCAGACGUUAACAGCAGAACGAGGAAACGGUUUUAUGCACUUUAAAAACGACACUACCGAGGGAGACCCACAGGCCCACGCACCGGAGAUAUUCCUUCCAGGUCUGGUGCAAGGGGAGCACAGAGCACGCUGCCCCCGGCGGCGGAGGAGGGGGUGGCGAGCUGUGGCAGAGGGAGGGACCACAGUCUCCUGCCUGUGAGGGGCACAGGCUCCCCUGGCCCACAGCAGGGCAUAUUACCCACGCACGCAAGCCCACCGGAAGGCCCCUGGCAGCGCUGACCCCGGCCUCUCCCCAGGGGGCCUCCCCGGCCAGUUCCACUGCCUCCUCCGGCCCCUCGAGUGGGCUGGGGUCCCCUCACCGCUUCCCACAGGCAUCGGAGGCUGUCCUACGGGGGUUGGGCCCCGGCCCUCCGUGAGCUGCCCCUGAGGCUGGUGUUAACCCCUUUACGGUCUAUUUAACGGAUAGUCAGCAGUUUUGACUUCUUGUCACCCACUUUAUCCACGUGCUCCUUUUAAUAGAAUUUUACAUUUUACUUUCUGGGUUUUAAUACUAGUGCCUUUUUAUUAUAUUUAAACAACUCAUCUAAUGGUCACUCUUUGAAAGGCUUCUACGUAAAUAUUUGUGCCUAGAAAACUCCA